ensembl:ncRNA F26G1.12 ncRNA
UAUAUUUAAUUUAACUCAAAAAUCUAAAAAGCCACCGUAUCAGCUCUACUCACUUUUGAAGGAUUUUCUCCUCGACCGACACAAUUUUGAUAUCGUCAGAAGCGUCAACGGCGCCCAGUUUGACAAGUUUAACAGUAAUUAGUGCACAGAUAACUGUAGGCGGCCCGAAAUAGGCGGCGCAGAGUGGACCAAAAAUGGUUGGAAAAAGUAGU